rnacentral:rRNA from 1 species
AUGAAUGGAUAAAUGAGGAUUUAACUGUCUCUUUCAUAAACAUAUAAAUUAAUCUACAGGUGAAAAAGCCUGUAUAAUAGUAAAAGACAAGAAGUCCCUGUUGAGCUUUACUUUAAUAUUAGCUACAAAAUAUUACCUCGUGCACAGAUACGGGCCAAUAUAUUUAAAUAAAUACCGUAAGUUUGGUUGGGGCGACAAGGGGGGACAAAAAGCCCCCCAUAAAAAUAUAGAUCUACAGAUCUCUCAUUUGAUCCGAAUAACCCCUUAUUCGACAAAGGAAAAAGUUACCACAGGGAUAACAGGCUAAUUCUUCUAAAGAGCCCACAUUGAUAGAAGAGAUUGGCACCUCGAUGUUGGCUUAGAAUAUCCUUUUGAUGCAGCAGUAUAAAGGGUUGGUUUGUUCGACCAUAAAAAUUC